CCUACGGGAGGCAGCAGUGGGGAAUAUUGGGCAAUGGGCGCAAGCCUGACCCAGCAAUGCCGCGUGAAGGAAGAAGGCUUUCGGGUUGUAAACGUCUUUGACAGGGGAAGAGCAGAAGACGGUACCCUGAAAACAAGCCACGGCUAACUACGGGCCAGCAGCCGCGGUAAUACGUAGGUGGCAAGCGUUGUCCGGAUUUACUGGGUGUAAAGGGCGUGUAGCCGGGAAGGCAAGUCAGAUGUGAAAUCUGGAGGCUCAACCUCCAAAUUGCCUUUGAAACUGUUUUUCUUGAGUACUGGAGCGGCAGCCUGACUUCCUUGUGUAGCGGUGACAUGCGUAGAUAUCAGGAGGCACACCAGUGGCGACGGCGGUCUGCUGGACAGCAACUGACGGUGCGGCGCG
rnacentral:rRNA from 1 species